rnacentral:rRNA from 1 species
UACGUAGGUGGCGAGCGUUAUCCGGAAUGAUUGGGCGUAAAGAGCGCGCAGGUGGUUAAUUAAGUCUGAUGUGAAAGCCCACGGCUUAACCGUGGAGGGUCAUUGGAAACUGGUUGACUUGAGUGCAGAAGAGGGAAGUGGAAUUCCAUGUGUAGCGGUGAAAUGCGUAGAGAUCAUACAGAACCCCGAUUGCGAAGGCAGCAUACCGGCGCCCGACUGACGCUGAAGCACGAAAGCGUGGGUAUCGAACAGG